rfam:Brachypodium distachyon strain Bd21 chromosome 2, whole genome shotgun sequence.
AACAUACUCCCUCCGUCCCAUAUUAAAUGAACUUUCUAUUACAUGUACCUAGACGUAUUUUAGUAUAUAGAUACGUCCAUAUUUAGACAAAUUUGAGGCACUUAAUAUGGGACGGAGGGAGUAGAAG